UACGUAGGGCGCGAGCGUUAAUCGGAAUUACUGGGCGUAAAGCGUGCGCAGGCGGUUCGUUGUGUCGGUGGUGAAAGCCCCGGGCUUAACCUGGGAAUGGCCAUGGAAACUGGCGAACUGGAGUGUGGCAGAGGGGGGUGGAAUUCCGCGUGUAGCAGUGAAAUGCGUAGAGAUGCGGAGGAACACCGAUGGCGAAGGCAGCCCCCUGGGCUAGCACUGACGCUCAGGCACGAAAGCGUGGGGAGCAAACAGG
rnacentral:rRNA from 1 species